rnacentral:lncRNA from 10 species
CGGGGCGUCUCCCCUGGACCCGGCUGCGCAGCUCCCGCCUAGCCCCGGACGCGCCCACCUGGGCGGCUCCUCCCCGAGCGCGGGCGGCAGUGGCUUCUGCUUUUGUUCUCUCGGAGCCCGGAGCUCGGGGACCUGCCAUUUUGUGGAUGCCACGUUGCACCCGGACGGGCCCCUGGUUUCCAUAACGUAGAGGCACAAAUCUGAAUGCUCCAGGGCAGAGGAUCUGACCCCUGAGUUCUGCCAGUGUACCCGGACGGGACCCCGAUUUCCCCUGGUCUAGGCGGACCAGCUCCAGAUUUCUGCAGGUUACAGAGUGGAUGAAGCUCAGGGACACAGCUGGGAGCCUCCCUCCUAUGCAGCUCAGGGACACAGCUGGGAGCCUCCCUCCUAUGCAGCAGGCAGUCAGUCUCCCUGGGAUCUCCGUCGAGGCCUCCUUGAGUCUCUGUCUACUCCUUCCUAGAAUCCCUGUCCACACCUCCCUGGGAUCCCCUCGAGGCCUCCCUCCCUUGAGUUUCUGUCUACUCCUCCCUGGAAUCCCUGGCUGCGCCCCGCCUUGAUUCUCCAUCUACACCUGUGUUCUCACUGUUCCCUGUCCUGCUUACUUGCUCUGCUUCCUAGAACCUCCAGCCCCAUCCCUGAGCCCAGGCAGGGAGCUGACCUGUUCCUGCCCUCUGUGCUGGGUAUCUGGGUGUCCCUCUGUGCUGGCCCCUACCUGAGGCCCCCAACACCCCUGCCACACCCUCCUCCCAGCCCGUCCUCGUGACAGUACUGCCCACGGUGCUGUCCAGGAUGGGAGCCACCUUUCUAAGCCUGUGUGGCCCCACAGCUCCUGCCAGAGCAGGACCCAAGAAUGCUGGCAUGCCUCCAGAAUAAACGGCUUCAUCCCUGUUCAGCACCUCCAGGACGGUCAGCAGUGACCCAGUGGCGCCUGGUCAGGGUGCAGCCCGGAAUCUCACUCUUACUGGAGACUUUGGGGCCCGUGGUAGGAGCUCACCCCUGCCACACCUCCACUAUACAGAAAGAAAGUGGGACCGUGUGGGGCUUUCUCAGCCCAGGAGUCCUUUGUGAGCUUCUCCAGCCCGUUUCUACAGAUCUGGUUCUUUCUUUGCCAUGGAUCCAUGGAAUUAGGGAUGUUUUCUAGGGAGUUUUUCCAAAACAUGGACUAUUAACAUAGCUUGGUUUAUUCAAAAAGUACUUACUGAUCAACUACUACUGGUAGUCACAGCACAGCCCCCAUCUCUGGGAAGCUGACAUUCCAGUGGAGGGAAAUAAACCAGUGGACAGAACACAAAUCCGGUCAAGGAAGGCCUCUCUGAUGGGGCAGGCUGAGCAGACACUGAGAGGAAGCUACCUGGGACUUGAAGGCAAAGGAGCCACCUGUGCAAAGGCC